CUGAUGCAGCGACGCCGCGUGAGGGAUGACGGCCUUCGGGUUGUAAACCUCUUUCAGCAGGGAAGAAGCGAAAGUGACGGUACCUGCAGAAGAAGCGCCGGCUAACUACGUGCCAGCAGCCGCGGUAAUACGUAGGGCGCAAGCGUUGUCCGGAAUUAUUGGGCGUAAAGAGCUCGUAGGCGGUUUGUCGCGUCUGCUGUGAAAGCCCGGGGCUCAACCCCGGGUCUGCAGUGGGUACGGGCAGACUAGAGUGCAGUAGGGGAGACUGGAAUUCCUGGUGUAGCGGUGAAAUGCGCAGAUAUCAGGAGGAACACCGAUGGCGAAGGCAGGUCUCUGGGCUGUAACUGACGCUGAGGAGCGAAAGCAUGGGGAGCGAACAGGAUUAGAUACCCUGGUAGUCCAUGCCGUAAACGUUGGGCACUAGGUGUGGGGGACAUUCCACGUUUUCCGCGCCGUAGCUAACGCAUUAAGUGCCCCGCCUGG
rnacentral:rRNA from 1 species